GACUGAUGGGACAGUGUGCCGCAUACACAAUGGAAUUUGUUACCUUGAAAAGUGAUUACGUGGAUUCGUCCUGAAUGAGCAAAUAUGAUUGGUUGAUGAAAAUGGCAAUGGGAUUUUUCAUAAAAUCCCAGAAAUACCUGUUUUUUUCAUUUAUAAGACAGCAGCGUACGAUGUAGUGAAAUAACGUUAAACAUCCCCAGGACGAAUCGGCUGUAAUAUAUAAAAUACUUAAUUGUCCUUAGGAAUUAGUUACUAGAUUAACUACGUGCAUUGUUUUGUAUGAAAAACUAAUUUAUAAACAAUGGUGGCUUUAGAAAUAAUCGUAAUAGGUGGAAUAGUUGUUUUCGGUAUAUUCGGCAUAAUAGCUGUAUGCCUCAGUGGAAAAAUCCAAGGAAGACCGAGCUAUGGGAAAUCUAAUGACACAAACUAAAAAAGGUUGCUGAUGGAUUGUUAUUGAGAUCAUGGAAUUCACAAAACAAAUGUACUGACACUACCUGUACUGACACUACCUGUACUGACACUACCUGUUUGGGACACCAGUUUAGAUGUCAACAACACACAACUGGUAAUUUGGAAAGAAGUAUCAUCAUUUUGAAAUUUAAUGUCAGCAGUUUGUUUAAGAGCAGCAGUGAAGGAUCUGUUUUCAAACUUAUGAAUAUUUAACUCAGAACACGUCAUCAGCGAAUUUCAUAUCAACGGAACAAAAUGGACAUAUCAAUCUUGUGGACGAAGCUGCUGUAUUAUUUGUUUUUAUAUGGGAUAAAUAAACCACUUGCUGUUUUAUCACCUAUAGAUUAUACUAUUAGUGUGUAACGCCAUUUUAUCUAUUACUGAUCCAACCAUUGUCUUUUCAUUGACCAUCAUUAAACUGAAUUGCAAUAAAUAAAAGUAAUAUUCAAUUACA